GCGCCAACCGCCACCAUCACUACUCAACAGUUCACAUCAAUUCAAUUUGCGUAUUGCCCUCGCAAUACGGUUCUCGCAACAGUUUGCAUUUUAUAAUUUGCUAUAUAACAAUUUCGUUUCGUUCGGCGGUGAGUGGGGAAAGGUGAUGUGAAGAUUGUCGAAAAGAUCCCGCUCAAAUCCCACAUGCCGUCGGCCGUUAUAUCACCGAGUGACAUUUCCGAAAAAGAGAAUCUCCCAGAGGUAGAAAACGUGGAGAAUAAUGAUAGGUUAUCUGUGAAAAAUAAAAUGAUCGCCAGUAGCCCUGGCGGGGAUGGAGUUUUAUCUCCACCGCCGAGAACCAGACGGUACGCCGGAAGCCUGCCAGAGCAAAAUGUAGCCGGACCUUCGUCGCAGCAGGCAGGAAGAAACACGAAGGUUGGCGUUCGGAAGCGGCCGGCUCGUUCCGAGCGAAAAGGGAUGAAAAGGCACGCCGGAACCGUCUCCGUGGAUCAGCGCACCCUCGACGGUAUGUUUCUCAAAGGUAAAGACGGAUCACCAGAGGCUCCGAAGUCCCCCCUGACCCGCAUAGUCAAGGUCGAAAUUGCGGAUGAAUCCGCUGAGAACCUCGUGAAGACGGACGACAAUCUCGUCGUUGAAAAGAAGAUCAAGUUGACCGACCGCUCGGAGGUGUACAUGGAUGAGGGUGAGGGUGGGAAGCUGGCUGCGGUGCCAGCUCCGAUCGACAAACCCAGAUCUCUUCCAGAAAAGUGCCAAAUUUGUCGUCAGCUGCUCUUUGACGACGACCUUAAAUUGUAUCAGGGUCAUCCGAACGGCGCAGUGGAAGAAUUCAUUGCUCUAACAGACCCCAGACUAUCGCUGUUCACUGGUGAGGAGUCUAUGAUUAACGAGAGUGAUGAAAGGCCACAGAAUAAGCUCACUCAUUUCAGCGUCUAUGACAAAAAUGGUCAUCUUUGUCCAUUCGAUACUGGACUCAUAGAAAGAAACGUGCUGCUCUACUUUUCUGGCUAUAUGAAAGCAAUUUAUGAGGAAAAUCCUGAUCCAGAAGGGGGUGUCCCAACAAUGGACAUGGGGCCGAUAAACGAGUGGUGGGUGACAGGGUUUGAUGGUGGCGAAUUGGCACUUAUAGGGUUCAAUACAGCGUUUGGAGAGUACAUUUUAAUGGAGCCAUCGGAGGCUUAUGCACCUUUUAUGGAAGCAGUGAGAGAAAAGAUUCACAUCAGUAAGUUGGUAAUCGAAUUCUUGCUCGACGAAAUCAAUCCAACUUAUGAGGAUUUGCUCAACAAAUUACAGACAACUGUUCCACCCAAAGGCUUGUUCAAAUUCACGGAAGACUCUCUCUUGAGGCACGCUCAAUUCGUUUGCGAUCAAGUUCUGUCCUUUGAUGCUUCUGCGACUCCGGGAGAAUCACUGCUACUUACAAGUCCAUGCAUGCGAGCACUGGUCAACUUGGCAGGUGUGACAGUUGGGAAGAGAUUAGCAAUGCGAAAAGCACACCGUAAAUAUCAAAAAGAUAAAAAACCUGCAUGGACAAAGGCCACUACGACGCACCUGGUUAAAAAUGUGUUUGAGACGUUUUUUACCGAUCAGUUGGACAAGGAAAAUGACAGGGAAAAAGGCGUUGGUGGUCCCAAGAGGCGAAGAUGUGCUGUGUGCGAGGCAUGUCAACAACCUGACUGCGGCCUGUGCAUCCAUUGCAAAGACAUGACUAAAUUCGGGGGCUCCGGAAGAAGCAAACAAGCCUGUAUCCAGCGCAGAUGUCCAAAUAUGGCUCUUCAGGAGGCAGACGACUCGGAUCCGGAAAACGAAGAAGAGUAUGAAGCGUUGGCAGUAUGCAAGGCUACUGUGACUCAAAAAGUGUCGAAGGGAUUGAGAAAUGUUAGAAAAGAAAUAAAAUGGAUAGGGGAACCGAUCAUCCAAGAUGGAAGAAAGACCUUUUACGAAUCUGUUAUGCUAGGUGACGAAGAAAUACACCCCAAUGACUGCGUUCUCAUUGAGCCCAGCGACCCAGCAGUACCUCUCUACAUUGCUCGAGUGGUAUACAUGUUCGAAACAAAGAAUGGAGACAAAUUGUUUCAUGCAAAUUGGUUCUGCAGAGGCAGUGAUACCGUCUUGGGGGAAACGUCCGAUCCCAUUGAACUAUUUCUCAUAGACGAAUGCGAGGAAACUCCGUUUGCUUCCGUCAAGUGCAAGGCCAACGUGAUUCGCAAACAGAUACCCAGUAACUGGUCAAUGUUAGGUAACGAAGAAUUAAAACCAGAAGACGAUAUCAAAGAUACUGACGGAAGGACGUUUUUUUAUCAGAAACAAUACACGGCGGAAACUGCCAGAUUCGAAGACCCUCCGGUGCCAUCGACUUGCUCGCGACCGGAAAUUAUGCACAGAUUUUGUGCAGCCUGCGAUCGAUUCAGUGCAAAUCAAGGCACAAACAUACCGAAGGUGGACGAACGCGGCGAGCAGAAGAGUAGCAAAGAAGUGAUAUACGGAAUCGUGCGUUACAAAGGUGAUGAAUUCAGAGUGGGGACAACAGUUUACUUGAUACCCGGAACAUUUAAAUUCAGAUAUGGUAUAACUAAAACCGAUUCGCCCAAGACGAAAAAAGAAAACGUUGAUGAAGACAUGUAUCCGGAGUUUUACCGUAAAUCUUCUGACCACGUAAAAGGGUCGAAUUAUGAUACACCAGAACCAUUCCACAUCGGUCAUAUAAGCGCGAUCUAUGCCUCAACAACGGACAAACUUGUAUCGUCUAGUGACAUCUGGAUCACGGUUACAAAAUUGUACAGGCCAGAAAACACCCACAAAAAGCAUACUCUGAUGGAACAAGCGGAUCUUAACGUACUGUAUUGGAGCAACGAAGUGUGCAACAUCCGAUUUGAGAAAGUGGUUGGAAAGUGUUACUUGAUGUACACUGAAAAUUUGAAUCAGUCGAUCGAAGAAUGGUCAGCAGCCGGACCGAACCGUUUCUACUUCUCCCAAGCUUACAGUGUAGAUGAGAAAUUAUUUGAAGAACCACCUUUGCAUGCGACAAAUAUUGGUAAACAAGGUAAGGGCAAAGGAAAGGGUAAAGGAAAAGGGAAGAGCACAAAGCUUCAGGAUGAUUCGAAAAAACCGUCAACUGAAACCGCUCCAGACUAUCCUCUGGUCGAUAAACGCCUGCAAACUUUCGACGUUUUUGCAGGAUGCGGCGGAUUAUCCGAAGGCCUUCACAGAGCUGGCAUCGCAGAGAGUCGCUGGGCAGUGGAGAAAGAAGAGCCAGCUGCACACGCUUUCCGUCUAAACAAUCCCAACGCAAUUGUCUUCUCUGAAGAUUGCAAUCGGUUGUUAAGAAUGGUUAUGGAUGGAAAUCUAAAAGAUGAGCACGGCCAGCCGCUUCCGCAGAGGGGAGCAGUUGAGCUACUGUGCGGAGGACCGCCUUGCCAAGGUUUCAGCGGCAUGAAUCGCUUCAAUUCAAGGCAGUAUUCGCUGUUCAAGAAUUCUCUCGUUGUCUCCUACCUGUCGUUCUGUGAUUACUAUAGGCCCAAGUUUUUCAUAAUGGAAAAUGUGCGAAACUUUGUCACAUUUAAACGGAGUAUGGUGCUAAAGUUAACGCUUAGAUGCUUGGUGCGAAUGGGGUAUCAGUGCACCUAUGGGAUUCUCCAAGCUGGAAACUACGGAGUACCGCAGACAAGGCGAAGGCUGGUCAUUCUAGCCGCUGCACCUGGAGAGAUACUUCCCAAAUAUCCAGAGCCGACCCACGUGUUCAGCAAACGUGCCUGUCAAUUGAGUGUCGUUGUAGACGAUAAGAAGUAUUCCUCGAAUUGCGAGUGGACAGAAUCAGCGCCGUAUAGAACGAUCAGCGUUCGAGAUGCUAUGUCCGAUCUGCCAGACAUAAAAAAUGGUUGGAACAAAGAAACUAUGCCAUAUGGCGGCGAGGCACUUUCACAUUUCCAGAGAAAGGCUUUUUCCGCAGAUGCGAGGAUAUCAGUAUCAGCCAGCCUUAAAGGAUCAUAUUUGUAAGGAAAUGGCACCACUUGUCGAGGCUCGAAUGGCUCAUAUUCCAACGGCGAGUGGCUCAGAUUGGAGAGAUCUACCAAAUAUCAUCCUCAAGUUGAGCGAUGGGACUUUCGCCAAGAAAUUACAAUAUACGCAUCACGACAAAAAAGCUGGCAAAAGUUCAACGGGGGCUUACCGAGGAGUUUGUAGCUGCUGUACAGGGAAGAUGUGCGACCCAAUGGAUAGGCAAUUCAAUACACUCAUUCC
rnacentral:misc_RNA from 1 species